AACGCACAUUGCGCCCCUCGGUAUUCCGGGGGGCACACCUGUCCGAGCGCCGUUGCGCACCCUCAAGCUCAAGCUUGGUGUUGGGCUCCCCCGUGCCUCUCGCGCGCGGGGCUGCCCCCAAACCAUGGGCGCCGGACCCCGGACCUCAGCGUGGCGGUAUGCACAAGCGCUGUGGCCCGCGGGUUUGGCCGCCGAACAAGGCUCUCUCGAACGAUUGGCCUCGGAUCAGGUGGGGAUACCCGCUGAACUUAA
rnacentral:misc_RNA from 1 species